CAGACGGUAAAACCUUGGUCACUGCUCGACCGGAACCGCCAUGUUGAGGCCGAACCCUGACCCACCGGCAGUACCCGUCCCAGCAGGCCCCGCGCUCGCCCCUCACGUGACGGAGUACACAUCCCCUUUUGAAUACCUUGGACCUUAAUCCCUUACGUGAGAAUCCUAAAGAAAGCCUGGCAUGGGACUGGACCCCAUUUGAGAUCAUGACCUGAGCUGAGAUCAAGAGCCGAACACUUAACCAACUGAGCCACCCAGGUGCCCUGCUUUUUCGUUUCUAUGUGUAAUAACUCAAUUCAUACUGAUAGGUGAUCCCGGGGUUUACAUUUUAGACUAAAUCCAAGUCAUGCAUAUUGGAAAACUGAGUCCUCAUGUCUAAGACCUUUUCUUCUCCAAGACAAAUAUUUAGAAACCAAUGUGCUAACCUUGCUUUCUGCUGAUGGUCAGUGGCGACACUGCACUAUCAGGUUUUGGCCAAGAGCAGCUUAGAGUAAACAUCUUAAUAACAGCAAUGCUUUUUAAACAUAAAAUUUAAAUAGAAAUUAUGCAUAAUAGUGAAAUGACAGGAUCUAGGGUUCUUAUUUUAGGGCAAAACACUUUCAUAGCACGUCCUGUUAUCUAUUUUAAGGGUCCACAGUGACUGUCCCUGAGUAGAAAAUUGAGACAAUUGUUUGGAUAAUUCAGUUCUUUCUACAUCUACUUUUUUGCUGAUCCUCCAGUUUCCAAAAUGAAGUAAAUAAAAAAACAAAAAAAUAACCACAUUGUUUAUAGUCAUAGUUAUUUGGAUAGUUCAGACCAAAGGGGUCAUUUGGUUUGAAUUAUACGGUUUGCUUUCCCAGUUAAUCUUUCUACCUUGCCUAUGUAUAGAUAAUUGUCUUAAGGUUGCUAGCAUGGAAAAACAAAUGAGUACAUUUUCCAGAAGGUAAGAUGACUCAACUCACUCAUUUCAACUCACCUUGGAAUAAGUCACCUUGCAUUUAAAGCUGUGUACAUAAAACACCGAAGGGUACAAGUGUUAAUAGUAUCUGUGAACCAGAGUUGGCUCUGGGUAUUCAUUUACUUUUGCUUGCAAUGCUCUAAAGAUUAUAAGAAGACUGAAUUCCUAAUAUAAUCUUUGCCUUUCACAUCUUGGGCAAGUCCCUUAAUCUACAUGUAUCUAAAUUCUCUCACUUUUUUAAAUGAAAUUCUUUCAUUUUAAAUAUCUAAACAAUACUAUAUUUACAUUUAUUCAUUGAUUUGGAAUCCGGAAACAGUAAGAUGUAUAAUUUCUUCAAAGGUCUAAGAUCUUUUUUUUUUUGUUUAAGAUUUUAUUUUGUAAGUAAUCUCUAUAUCUGAUGUAGGGCUCAAACUUACAUCCCUGAGAUCAAGAGUCACAUGCUAUAUCGACUGAGCCAGCUGGGCACUCCCAAAGCUCUAAGAUAUAAAAUUCUUUCCCAAUACUUCUAAAUACAUGGUAAGAUUAAGGAAACUUUGCUUGAAUUCUUAGAACUUCAAGUAGAAAUCUCUGACUAAUGGUAGCUACCACUUACAGAGCAUUUGCCAAAGGCUAGACACUGUUCAGAGUGUUCUAUGUAUAUUAGUCCAUUGAAAACUUUCAGCAAUUCUAAGAAGUGAAUCCUAUUAUUAGCCUCACUUCACAACUGAGGAAACCAAGUCACAGAGAAAUUGACUCACCCAGGAAGUCCCAUGUAGUAAGUGGUAGGGUUAGAAUCUAAACUCUGACAGACUCUGACUCCACAUUCUUAUCUAUUAUAUGCUGUACCCCUUCUACUGCCCUGACUCUUUAUAAUGUCAUAACUUGUAUUUCAAGUUUCUCCUCAAAAAAUACUCAAUAAAUGGAUGUGAGUAGAAUUCUUAAUAUUGUACUUGAGAAAUAAUAGAGUUGGCAUUUUCUUAAAAAAGACCACAAAGUAUGAAGAAUAUUGAUUUGUCAAUAAUACUCAACAUUUCUGCUUUAGUUUGAGGAAUCACUGGCACAAGCCUUAAAACCAUAUGAACAUAAGGUUUAUUAGAAUAAACCAGAAUAAACUUAUAAAAUGCAUCUUGGAUCUGUUGUCCAUGCUUUUAAGCAAUCGAGUCAAUGUCCUGGCCCAGUUUCCCUCUGGACAGUAUUUUGCAUCACAAAAAUAAUUCUAACCUUCCGAAAUAUACAAUGGACCAGAAUGUGAAGUUGAAGACAUGAUCUUUGUAUUAGUUACUACAAAAAUAAAAUGCAGAAGUUAUUAUUGAUACCCACAAAAUUCACUGGCCUUACAGAGACAUUCGAUAGCCUGAAUUUUGCAGUCAUUAAGCCGGUUUGGAACUCCAAAAAUAUCAAGCAUAUUUUAAAGUUUCUACAGUGUUAUAUCUGGUUCCAUUAAAUGAAAAGAACUUUGGAAAAUAAUAUUUCAAAUACUCUUCAAAAUCCUAUACUAUUCAAAAUAGUAUUUCAAAGAUAGUAUGCAAAUAUAAAGUAGUACUUUUACCAUCAGAAUCUGUAGGCUUCUCUAUUCUUCAACACCAAUGCAUUGAAAUCUGAGAGUAUACAAUUCUCCUUUCAUCCAUCUGAGUGACCUUCUGGAAAGGAAAGGGGACUCUUACUCUUUCCAGCAGCCUGGAAUGGAUCUGUGCUUAAUCUCAUCUGCUUUGCUAAAUGCUGAAACCCCUGACUGCAGUGGCCCUACCAGUCCUUCCCGUUUUCUCCUGCAGAGCCUCGUUCUUAUGUCAUGGCCGCCCCCUCUCCCACCUCAGGCCACAUGCAUUCCUCGGCUUUGUUCUGUCACCCAUUUCCCAACCCCUCACUCAGGGCACGCCUCUAUGAGUGACACUUUAUAGAGCCACUUUACCCACACACAGGAUGUGAUACCCAUGGGAUAUGAUUUUCAUCCUACUUCUGAAAGUCAGAGAGCACUUUCCAGGAUGGUUCUCUGAAAAUUGAUAACAGGUUUUCUUCCACAAAAUUGCAGGGCAAGUUCAACUCAUUCUAUUUUAAGAAAAUUCUCUUAAAGUUUCAAUUUUUAAAAAGCCAGAAGACUACAUUUCUGGCUCUGCAAGUUAUACAUAUCUUGAAAUCGUGUCCAUGAAGUCAUUGUAUGAGAUAUUUUAUACUACUUAUGCUUGGAAAAUACACAUCAAAAAUAUGAAUGAGAUCACGCACUACAUUGCAGUCAGUUUAGAGCUGUGAGUAACACAGUUCCAAAAAAACCCACCUAGGUUCUGUAUCAACUUGUACCAGCUAAAGCUUUUCAAAUAUAUUGUAGAAUUGUGCAGUGUGGCUUAGUUCCUUCAUCAGAUUCUGGGUUUCACACCGAGUGAUCAAAGGACAAGAAGGGGCAUAAAAUCUAAUAUUCAAACUAGAAUUAAAAGCUACAAUACUCCAGUCAGGUGAUAGUCUAGCCUCUACUUGGUUGCUUCUGAUGACUGAAUACCAAAGCCAAUGUCUAAGCCACAUCUUAGCCUGAACUGAAACAUGCUUCCUCAUGACUUUUACCCUUUGUCUGGAUUUUGCUCUCUAGAGCAUUAUAUAACAAAAAUACUAUCUCCUUUUACAUAUAUGAAGAGAGCCAGCUAAGUACCAUGUGCCUUUAUAAUCUGCUCUUCUCUAGACUAAAAAUAUACACAUCUUUAACAGUUCCGUUCAGGCAUGGUUUUUAGUUCCUUUUCCAUUUUCCCUUCACUUCUCUGAGAAUACUUUCAUUUGUCUGUGUUUCUCUAAAAUCUAUAAAGAAGUUACCAAAUUCAACACCCAAAAAACAAAUAAUCCAGUGAAGAAAUGGGCAGAAGACAUUAAUAGACAUUUUUCCAAAGAAGACAUCCAGAUGGCCAACAGACACAUGAAAAAAAUGCUCAACAUCACUCAUCAGGGAAAUACAAAUCAAAGCCACACUGAGAUACCACCUCACACUAGUCAGAGUGGCUAAAAUUAACAAUCAGGAAACAACAGAUGCUAGCGAGGAUGUGCAGAAACGGGAACCCUCUUGCACUGUUGGUGGGAAGGCAAACAGGUACAGCCACUCUGGAAAACAGUGUGGAGGUUCCUCAAAAAAUUAA